rnacentral:rRNA from 1 species
UUUGAUCCUGGCUCAGGACGAACGCUGGCGGCGUGCCUAAUACAUGCAAGUCGAACGAACUCUGGUAUUGAUUGGUGCUUGCAUCAUGAUUUACAUUUGAGUGAGUGGCGAACUGGUGAGUAACACGUGGGAAACCUGCCCAGAAGCGGGGGAUAACACCUGGAAACAGAUGCUAAUACCGCAUAACAACUUGGACCGCAUGGUCCGAGUUUGAAAGAUGGCUUCGGCUAUCACUUUUGGAUGGUCCCGCGGCGUAUUAGCUAGAUGGUGGGGUAACGGCUCACCAUGGCAAUGAUACGUAGCCGACCUGAGAGGGUAAUCGGCCACAUUGGGACUGAGACACGGCCCAAACUCCUACGGGAGGCAGCAGUAGGGAAUCUUCCACAAUGGACGAAAGUCUGAUGGAGCAACGCCGCGUGAGUGAAGAAGGGUUUCGGCUCGUAAAACUCUGUUGUUAAAGAAGAACAUAUCUGAGAGUAACUGUUCAGGUAUUGACGGUAUUUAACCAGAAAGCCACGGCUAACUACGUGCCAGCAGCCGCGGUAAUACGUAGGUGGCAAGCGUUGUCCGGAUUUAUUGGGCGUAAAGCGAGCGCAGGCGGUUUUUUAAGUCUGAUGUGAAAGCCUUCGGCUCAACCGAAGAAGUGCAUCGGAAACUGGGAAACUUGAGUGCAGAAGAGGACAGUGGACCUCCAUGUGUAGCGGUGAAAUGCGUAGAUAUAUGGAAGAACACCAGUGGCGAAGGCGGCUGUCUGGUCUGUAACUGACGCUGAGGCUCGAAAGUAUGGGUAGCAAACAGGAUUAGAUACCCUGGUAGUCCAUACCGUAAACGAUGAAUGCUAAGUGUUGGAGGGUUUCCGCCCUUCAGUGCUGCAGCUAACGCAUUAAGCAUUCCGCCUGGGGAGUACGGCCGCAAGGCUGAAACUCAAAGGAAUUGACGGGGGCCCGCACAAGCGGUGGAGCAUGUGGUUUAAUUCGAAGCUACGCGAAGAACCUUACCAGGUCUUGACAUACUAUGCAGAUCUAAGAGAUUAGACGUUCCCUUCGGGGACAUGGAUACAGGUGGUGCAUGGUUGUCGUCAGCUCGUGUCGUGAGAUGUUGGGUUAAGUCCCGCAACGAGCGCAACCCUUAUUAUCAGUUGCCAGCAUUAAGUUGGGCACUCUGGUGAGACUGCCGGUGACAAACCGGAGGAAGGUGGGGAUGACGUCAAAUCAUCAUGCCCCUUAUGACCUGGGCUACACACGUGCUACAAUGGAUGGUACAACGAGUUGCGAACUCGCGAGAGUAAGCUAAUCUCUUAAAGCCAUUCUCAGUUCGGAUUGUAGGCUGCAACUCGCCUACAUGAAGUCGGAAUCGCUAGUAAUCGCGGAUCAGCAUGCCGCGGUGAAUACGUUCCCGGGCCUUGUACACACCGCCCGUCACACCAUGAGAGUUUGUAACACCCAAAGUCGGUGGGGUAACCUUUUAGGAACCAGCCGCCUAAGGUGGGACAGAUGAUUAGGGUG